CUACGGGUGGCUACAGUGAGGAAUAUUGCACAAUGGGGGGAACCCUGAUGCAGCAACGCCGCGUGGAGGAUGACGCAUUUCGGUGUGUAAACUCCUUUUAUAUGUCAAGAAAAUGACGGUAGCAUAUGAAUAAGCACCGGCUAACUCCGUGCCAGCAGCCGCGGUAAUAAGGAGGGUGCAAGCGUUACUCGGAAUCACUGGGCGUAAAGGACGCGUAGGCGGGUUGGAAAGUCAGGUGUGAAAUCCUACAGCUUAACUGUAGAACUGCACUUGAAACUUCUAAUCUAGAGUAUGGGAGGGGGAGAUGGAAUUAGUGGUGUAGGGGUAAAAUCCGUAGAUAUCACUAGGAAUACCUAAAGCGAAGGCGAUCUCCUGGAACAUUACUGACGCUAAGGCGUGAAAGCGUGGGGAGCAAACAGGAUUAGAUACCCUGGUAGUC
rnacentral:rRNA from 1 species